rnacentral:rRNA from 1 species
AACGAACGCUGGCGGCAUGCCUAACACAUGCAAGUCGAACGAGACCUUCGGGUCUAGUGGCGCACGGGUGCGUAACGCGUGGGAACCUGCCCUUAGGUUCGGAAUAACUCCCCGAAAGGGGUGCGAAUACCGGAUAAUGUCUUCGGCCCAAAGAUUUAUCGCCUUUGGAUGGGCCCUCGUUGGCUUAGCUAGUUGGUAGGGUAAAAGCCUACCAAGGCGACGAUCCAUAGCUGGUCUGAGAGGAUGAUCCGCCACACUGGGGCUGAGACACGGCCCAGACUCCUACGCGAGGCAGGAGUGGGGAAUCUUGGAAAAUGGGCGGAAGCAUGAUCCAGCUCUGCCGGGUGAGUGAUGAAGGCCGUAGGGUUGUAAAGCUCUUUUACCCGGGAUGAUAAUGACAGUACCGGGAGAAUAAGCUCCGGCUAACUACGUG